AUGGCAAAAAGUGUGAUACUGGCUGGCGACGUAAGUUGGCCUAAAUAUAAUGAAGAUCCUGUGUUGUCUGUGGCUAAAAUAACGAAGGAUUGGGAAGGUGGGCCACUUUUUUCUUUGGAUGGGAACUUUAUCGGCAUGAACCUUUUUCUGGUUAUGGAAAGAGCUUUUUUUCUACCAUGGGGUGUAAUGGUCUAUCUGGUGUAUAACUUUAAGACUCCCCUAGAGAACAGGCAUGGAGAAGGACCCACACAUGAGAUGUUCAAUCGCUAUCAAGACGUUUAUAAAACUGGUAUCGAGCAUAGUCUGUUUGGGGAUGUAGACAAGGGGUACCCCAAGCUACCAGUAACUAUGCUGGAUGAUGGCUUGGUUUUGGUUAAUACUUUUGAAGACACCUUUGGCGACGUAUGGGGUGAAGGUGUCUGGAGGGAACUUGGGAAAAAUGCUUCUGACAUAAGUCGCAUUGUUGUCGCACUUGCUUCCUUCAAUGGUGAAAAAAUGUUUUCUGCAUGCACGGGUUUUUUUAUUCGAUGGAAUGGCUCAACAACCAUUCUGACAUCUGCAAGCCUGGUUAGAGAUCAUUGUGAUGAAAGCAAGAUUGUUGAAAACUUGACGAUUAAAGUAUUGCUUCCAAACAAACUUGUCCGAAAAGGGAACAUAGAGCAUUACAGUCUACAUUACAAUGUCGCUCUAGUCAGUGUCGAGGAUUGCCGUGUUAUCCGAGCAGCAAAGAUUCAGCUUGAUUGUAUUGGUAUUUCCCGUGUAGCAGCUGCAGGGCGUUGCUUCAGAUCAGGCACGAUAAUGGCCACAAGUGGGCGUCUGGUUUCCUGGUCAGGCAGGCUUGAUUGCAAGUUCAUUUUACGCUCCACAUGUAAAAUCAGUAAGGCCGGGAUUGGAGGACCCCUUUUUAAUAUGCGUGGAGAAAUUAUCGGCAUGAACUUCUAUUCAGAGAAAAUAGGCACCCCAUUCCUGCUAUGGAAUGAGAUUGGCAACAUCCUGGCAUAUUUUAAGGAAAAGAGUGAUGCUGGUGAGGUUGCCAAGGACAGUGGUUCCUCUUUCUGGAAAAUGGAUGGGGAUGACAGAGUUCGGUUAAACAGGUGGCCUGUGCCGAUGCCAUGUUGGCGUGAUCUUGACGAUCCAUCUUGGAGCUAUCCUGAUGAUUGGAUUACGGAUGCACCCAGGGAUGAGCCGAACAUUGAAAUCCCACCUGGCGAGGAGUUCAGAUACGGAUACAUAGGGGGAACGAGAUAUAGAAACCUUGUAGAGGAGUGCUGGGUUCCCAUGACCAAGAAGUGGUGA
rnacentral:rRNA from 1 species